rnacentral:rRNA from 1 species
AUUGAACGCUGGCGGCAUGCCUAACACAUGCAAGUCGAACGGUAACGCGGGGACAACCCUGGCGACGAGUGGCGGACGGGUGAGUAAUACGUAGGAAUCUGCCCAUUUGUGGGGGAUAACCCGGCGAAAGCCGGGCUAAUACCGCAUACGCUCUACGGAGGAAAGCAGGGGAUCGUAAGACCUUGCGCUAAUGGAUGAGCCUACGUCGGAUUAGCUAGUUGGUAGGGUAACGGCCUACCAAGGCGACGAUCCGUAGCUGGUCUGAGAGGACGAUCAGCCACACUGGGACUGAGACACGGCCCAGACUCCUACGGGAGGCAGCAGUGGGGAAUAUUGGACAAUGGGGGCAACCCUGAUCCAGCAAUGCCGCGUGUGUGAAGAAGGCCUGCGGGUUGUAAAGCACUUUCAGAGGGGAAGAAAAAAUCGGAGCUAACACCUCCGAGCUUGACGUUACCCUUAGAAGAAGCACCGGCUAACUCCGUGCCAGCAGCCGCCGUAA